UACGAAGGGUGCAAACGUUGCUCGGAAUCAUUGGGCGUAAAGCGCACGUAGGCGGCUUGCCAAGUCGGACGUGAAAUCCCUCAGCUCAACUGAGGACGUGCAUCCGAAACUGUCGAGCUUGAGUGCUGAAGAGGAUCGCGGAAUUCCCGGUGUAGCGGUGGAAUGCGUAGAGAUCGGGAGGAACAUCAGUGGCGAAGGCGGCCAUCUGGGACAACACUGACGCUGAAGCACGAAAGCGUGGGGAGCAAACAGG
rnacentral:rRNA from 1 species